ensembl:processed_transcript Gm13110 predicted gene 13110
AGUGAGGGCAGCUGCUGGGAGAGGCUGCCAGUCCCCUGGUCCGUCUCCUCUGCAAGCUCUACUUACCCUGCCUCCUGCCAGAGGUCGGAGCAGCAUGGCUGCUUGCCAGAAGCUGGACCAGUUCUCAGAGUCCCAGCUGCCAAAACCGGAAGCCAAACGAGCCUCUAUGUCCACGGUCACUCAGUCUUGGGAUUUCUACUCCAGUCACAGGAAACACACCAAGAUGGUGGAACUGGCCUUGGACCUGAGACGAGUGGCUGAUGGCUGAUCCUCAUUGUCUGUUUGCCUACAUUUGGGAAUCACCUAGGAGACUGAAGCUUUUUGGAGAGGAUUAAGGGUGGGGGAAGACCCACCUGUGAACUGUGGUCCGGAGGAGAGCCAGACAAGCUCUGGAAUUUGUCUGCUUUCUCUGCUCCCUGAUCCGCUGAGAUAUGAACAAGCAGCCCUCUGCUCCUGGUGCCACAGCCGCACGUCUCGCACUUCCGUGCUUCCUUUAUGGAAUGGAUAACACCCUCGAAUCAUGAGCCAAAGAAAAGGCUGCUUCAGCUUCCAGAGCUGCUGAAUUCAUCCAUGAGGGUCCCAUGUAGGACAGAAGAUGCCAGAAGCUUGCUGGGAGAGCACUGUUCCCUGACCUACAUGAAAACCUGUAGUGACUGAGCAUGAGUUAAAGCAGAAGGAGGGUAUUAUGACAAGAGGAAGGUCUGGGAGACUCCCCUGUCCCAGGCUCCUCCCUUGGGGUCUCCUGCCCUCCUCAGAAUGCCCAGGAAGCAGGAGGCUGGAAGACCGGAGUAGACAGUCACCACAAGGUCCUGGAGGGGCUCUGUCCUCUAGACCCAGAUGCAAGAACUUCCGGGGGGGGGGGGUGGUUAUGGGGAGGAUCACUCAGGGACCUCUGAGAGCUGUUUCACCAGAAUGAGAGUGAAGAAGAUUUGGGGUACAGGGCAAAGAAGUUACCUUCCCUCCAUGCCUUUGGGUUACAUCCCUCCGUGCCAUUGGGUUACAUCUCACUUCAGUGUUUCAUAUUCACAGAUGUGCCUGCUCCUUCCCUUUCCUGUGUUGGGGCUGGAGUAUCAGGGCUGUGACUCCCUCCUACAGGAACUAGCUGGGUCUGGAAUCACAGCUGAAGUCUAUAUAAGUCCUAGAGAACACAGAGAGCAAGAGAAAAAUUGCCCUGGGCUGGAGGAUAGAGCACCCUAAACUCAGGAUUAAUAAAAAUGUUCCUGGGAGGAGUGUGGGAGUUGCUAUAAUCAGCAAUUUAGACUGGCAGUAUGCUAUGAGCAUAUAAAUCCCUAGCUCCCCUUCACUUCCCCAUGGAGCAACUAACUGUCUUUCUCUUCUGUUAGCAAAAAUCCCAAGGUUUAUUCUCCAGAGCUGCAGAGACAGCCAGACUCCUCCAGUGGCUCUCUGGAAGAUCCCCUGGGAGACCAAAUGAGUUCCUCAAGAUGACAGCAUUCAGGAUCCACCACCCAGUGAUGGAGCUCAAAUAUGGACACAACCAGCCCUGAAUCUGAGAGUCAGCCAAGGGGCGACAGACAUCUGGCAUAUGCAUGUCCUAUACGAGGACAGGAAAGUACCUCAACCCUCAAGUCGCAAAAUUCAAGGAUGGAGAACAUAAAAUGGAAGACCACCAAUAGUGUGUUUUAAGAAAAUUGCCAAAAGUUAAAGUUUCCUCUGCAGAUGGAAAGAGAUACCCACUCUAGGACACACGCUCAGGAAAACAUGGAAACACCUCAGGCGGAAGAUUCUACGCUUUUCCAAGAGAAAAAGCAAGUCACACAAAACCUGAGGCAGUGGAAUCUCCCUUGGACUUCUCAGCUCCCCUGAAAGAAAAACAAUGCUGGCCAACACUCUAGCUCUGAAUGAAAAAUUUGUCUCCACACACUAGAAUUCUAUUCCCAGCUCAACUAUCCAUCAGCUAUUGCUGGGGAAAGAUGCCUUCUGACAUGUGAAGUCCUAAGAGUUAUAUCCUAAACUUUUCCUGGGCCAAGUCCUCACCCACUCUGUGUCCUCAGUGCACUCGAAACUUUGUAGCCUACUAGGCAAGUCAUGCAUUCAGCCUUGCCUUUCCAUAAAGAUGUGACCUUGAGGAAAACUGGAGGCCCUUCUAAUUGGGUCACUGCUGUAUUCUUGGGGCCUGUAACUGCAUAGCACAUAAGUGGUGUGCAAUGACUUUUUGCCUCUGUGUAUGUUUACCAUGGAGGCCAGAGGAGGGCCUUAGAUCCCCUAGUUACAGAAGCUUGUGAACCACCAUGUGGGUGCAGCAAGUGCUCUUAAGAGCUAAGUCAUCUUUCCAGCGCUUGCAGUGACUCUUGAAGAAUAAAAGCCACACAGUUCAAUCUGUUGGGCACCUGAUCUGGGUCAGCGAUAUUUUCCUGUGUUUCCCCCAAUGAACCUCUGCCAUCGUCGUCCGGAGGCUGAAGAGACACUUGGUGUAUGGCUCACCUGCUCUCAGGCCUAGAACUGCCACCUGCCACACAGGGGACAUCACUACUUUCUCAGUUGUUCCUUGCAGCCAAAAUCUACAUUCUGUCUUGGUAGCUUUGCCUCUUCUGGACAUUUUUUUUUUUAAAUCACACACCAUGUGACCUUCAGCGACUGGCUCUAUUUAACUCUUCAUGGAAUUGCCAGGGUUCACACACACUGGGGUCAGGGUUAGGGUUAUAAUAACACUCUCUUACUUGUGGCUGAUUGGUAACCCACAGGGAGUGGGUGGAGGACUUUUUACUCACCCCUUAGAAACAGGUAGAAAUGGUGACGGGUGUGUCCUCUCUUGCUUUGAGUUUGGUUAAUUACAUCCAAAGAAGGGAUAGGUUAAAUUCAAACCUACACAGUAGAGCCCUCCAGCUGCAGGGGUAGCCGUGAAGAAUACACUCACGGGCUCACCCUUUUCCUAAGUGUUGGACCUGGUGUCCGUAGGCUACUCUCCAAACUGUUCCAGGAUGCUGGGACCAUUCUGUAUUUGUGUGGUCACUUUGAAAGCUAAAGCUUUGAACAUGAGUGUGGAGUUGUGGAGCUUUUUCCUCUGGGCAGAGUAUGGACAUAGCUGUCUUGAACCCAGAGCUACUGUGAUUACAUAUUAGAAACCCAGAAACCCUUGCAAGCUUGAACCUACUAACACUCUUUCAAGGUGGGAGGGUACUCAGGACCCGUACCAUAAAGGCACCAUCACUCCCUUCCCGGGAUACAGAUGCAGUUAACCAGUGCUCAGAGGGGAAGCUUUUAAGUUGCUUGUGAUCCUGCAAGCAACCUCAGCCUUGAUUUUGGUGGCUCGAAACCUCUGUAACACUAGUUCUAGGGGUCCGUCCUUAGUGCCAUAUUUGGGGUGAAUAGCAUUUGUUCAUGUCUGUUGGGGAAAGUUAGAAGAAGAGUUCCUUACAUUUGAAUGCUGAUUUCUCAUGGAAUUAUAUUUUAAUU